ensembl:lncRNA
GAUCUGCUGCACAAGUGAGAAGACCUCGGUCUGUGUCCUCUUCUACCGGAGCAGAGGUGGCUACUGCUAUAGAAAGGAGAGUCUUCUCAGGGGCUUUCCAACUGCUUCAAACACAGGUUGUACCUGGUGAUAAGAGAGCCUGAAAUCUUUUCUCAAGCAGCGAGCCGACGGACUUGCAGCCUGCAGGAGCCAUGCCUGGAAAGGAUGAAUGAGGUCUCCACGGGAGAUGAUCGUGGCAGUUUUAAAAUACCACGAAUGCCAUUUCCUCACCUCCAUCUCUUCCUCACAAACCUUGGCUUCCACUAUGCACUCCUAAGCACUGCCAACCAAUUUGUUGGCUUACAGGGCUGGGUAGUAAAUUCUGUUCUCUGCCCACAAGUGCCUUUGUCUUUCUACCAGCACAAGCCAGAACCAAUACCACCUUCAGGAAGGCAGGGUUUGUGGGCAUUGCUCGGGGAAAUAAUGGGUUCCUCCUAGGAAAGGACCCUGUACAUUAAACAGCCUCACUCAUCUAACUUCUGUGUGUUCAUCUGGAAUCAAUCUGGAUACAAUCUUCUAAUGGGACACGGGGUAAUAAUGCUAUGGUAACAGUUGGAUAAUGCAGAAAAAGAGCUAUUAUAAAGCCAUAACUCAGUCAAUGAGUUCUGAUAACAUAAUAAACCACAAGAGUGAACACCAAGGGCUUGUAUGUCUUGCAAGUCUCUGCAGCACAUUUACAACCACAUGAGAUGCCUAUCAGCCAUGCAUUGUUAUCAGGGAUAUAUAAACCCUUUUAAACAUUAACGUUUUUAUAGACUCAGAUGUGUUAAAACUCAGGUAGCUCCUCGCCAAGGGAUUCUGCUCACCUUGACAAAUGCCAGUGCAAAAAGAAAUCAAAAGCCUCAGACUUUGACCUCCUUCCUCUUUUUUUCAGCCAUUAUUGCAGUGUUUUAUUGGAUUCCACCUGCUUCUCCCCAUCCUGCAAAACAGUGUUUCUGUGGGAUCUCUACAGGACACCGCUCAGUGUUUGCUAUGGGCAUUUGGGUACAGCUAACUUGUACUGGAUUUCUAUCCAUUUGCCUGUCAAACCAGUCUGUUGCACACCUACUCUGGAAAGGAAAACCCCUGAAAAUAUACUUUUAAAAAUCACUUUACUAUGAAUUUCCAAAGACUGAAGGAUUGUGUAAAACUGUGUGUGAUGGGUCUGGCCACUGGAGGGAACCAUGUAAAACCAACCUCUGCAGGGGCUUAGCACACUGUCUCUGUGCAGAGCCUAAGGUGACACUGCCUCCCACACUUUAUGUCUGUACCUCUUUUAGCAACAAACUGUUCUCAGAAGCGUUGCUCCUUUUAAAAGCAUUGCUCACAAACCGAUGUCGUUCCUUCAGGAGCCUCACUGUCACAAACAAUACAGCAUGUCCUGGCACUUGGUGCUGGUGAUGUGCUUUACAAUAUGCACACCUAUAAAAAUACCUACAGUUUGAGCCUUGUGUCCAAGGUCAACAAGCCGAGGCAGCCUGACCUAAGAAGUUAAUGCUGAGGAGUCCAGGUUGUGACAGAUUUGUUUUCUAAACGGGACUGAAGAAUUCCACCACCUCACUUAGCACCAAGGCUCCUUUUGCCCCAGGUCUGCAGCUUCAACCUCCUCAACACAGCACAGCAGAAGUAGCAUUAAUCCAGGAGCAGUUUGGGACGUACCAGAUAGGAGGAUUAGUAGGGAGGUAUCCAGAGCCAGUGUUCCAGCAUCUCAGUUUUGGGGCCCCUGUCUUGGAGCAGAUGGAGAUGUGGAUUUAGAUAUACCAGAAUUGCAACUAGCAACAUAAUAAGAAGUUUGCUUCGGCUUUCACCGCCAUGCUUCUGUUUCUGCUGUGUUCCCUUCUACCCCGGUGAGGCUUUGACUCAGUCAUUACAGAACGUGAUCUAUCAUUCUGUACACCUUUGCAGAGCGCAUAGCAUAUUAAGGCCCUGACCUUACUGGCAUGAAACUGUGAUUUCCCCCUAAGUGCAAAACAAUAACGUUUCAUUAAUCAUCCAUAACAGAAAUCCCCGUUCCCCAGACUACUGGCAAUAAUCUACAUUUUUGCUUGUCUAGGAACUUGAAUUAAAGGGGAGAAAAAUGGUUUACAACAGCCCGUGGCAGUGAUGUAGCAAGAGACUUUAUGUAAGAGCUGGCGGAGAGCUGACGGUGUGAGGGUGAGGCGAGCAGCGAGCUGCUGCAAGGAUGUUUCUCUGAGGUGUGUUCAGUGCUGGAGCUGGGAACAGCAGUCUCAAGGGCACAAAUUCCAGUGCCUGAAUGUGCUUGGUCUUGUUCAACUGAUUCAUUUCUUACAGCUAUACUAAGCUGAGCUGCAAAAUCGCCUCCUGCGUUACUCAAAGGCUUUCGCAUCUUGUCGAUAAAUUAUUUUCCAAUUAACUACGUGCUAGCUUGGAGCUGGAGGCUCUCAAAAGAUGCAGCAAGGUGAGGGAGAGAAAACAGUCACAGUCUUUGCAAUGCUCCCAAGGCCAAGGAAGAGAGGUUCUGGUUUCUGCUCUGACGUGGUGUGUCUCGGUGGUGCUUCCCAGAGCAGUGUGGGGGAAUUGGGGCGAAGCGCUGCAUGGGGGCUGAGGAGCACAGCGGAGAUCGGGAGCCUCAGCCUGAGCCGCUCCUCUGCUGCUCGGCCCCGAGUUUGUUGCGUGAGCUGAUGAAAAAGGAGCAUCUCCUUUUUGCUGUUAACUGUUAUCAUGAAGUCAAGUGGAAAAGUGCUAUUUACCCCAUAAUAAAAAAACGCAUCUAUUGUUCGUAGCCCUGAAAACGCAAUAAUAAAUAAAACCUCGUCUUUCAGGCUGCGUCAACCAGUCGCUUGUGUAACAGAACACGGUGUAAUUUUCCACUUACAAUUGCAAAUACUGCAAUAAGAAAGCGAUCAAAGCAUAAACAAAAGAGCCCUUUAAGUGGUGCUGCAGGUAAUAUUUCUGUAAUGGCCGUCCCAGCAAUUGCAACUGCUUUCUUUUUUUUCCCCCUCCCGCUGCACAUCAUUUCUCCUUAUCUCAGUCAUUUAAUUAAAAGAAAAUCAACUUAAAACUGAUGAAAG